GUGAAGGUGGCUCAGUGGUAGAGUGCUUGCCUUGCAUGCAAGAGGCCCUGGGUUCAAUUCCUCAGCAUCACA
rnacentral:tRNA from 1 species